rnacentral:lncRNA from 1 species
ACACCUUAUCACAUUGUCAUGUAACUUCACCAUAAUUCGCUAAAAGUGAAAAAUGCACCAGAAAAAUAAAGAAUUUCAUAUAGCAACUACACUACUAAUAUCUUCUCAAUUUAUAUCCUAGAUCAACGUAACUUAUAAUUUAUGAAGCUGUACAAUCUAAUAGACUUCCAUGCAGACCUUUGCAAUGAUAUAAUCCUGGGAAAAGUGAUUAUUUUCAACAUAAGGAAGCAUCUCAAAGCCAAAGAAAACACAAGCCUCAAAUGCCAACGUGGAGAGAAUUUCAUUCAGAGUCAUC